GCCCAUAAUUAGCAGGUGCUCAAGGUAUCGCCUAAUUACCCAGGGAACCAUGGAGUUGAAUAGUGAGUGAGAAAGACGAAUGCUCUCCCUUUUAUGUACAGAGAAGGUAGUUACGUGAUGCUUGGAGUUAAGCAAGUGCAGAAAGUAACAUGCCGAGACAGGAGUAAAGACUACAAAGCAAGGUCCCUAUAGUAAGAUGCUUUCAGACUAAUUGGGAGUGAUCCACAGACAGUGGAGAGAGAGCAGUGAACAAGACAGACCAGGCCCCUAUUUUCAUGGAGUUUAAAAGGCUAAUGAGGGAAACAAUAAACAGAUAAGUAUAAACUAAGGCUUGAAGAUGGUGAGGCAUUCACCAUGCAGUCAAAAGGGUAACCUAGUUUGAGGGAAGAGGAUGUAUAAAGGCAAGAAAUGAGCAACAGCAUGGCCCAGAGGGACUAGAGCUUAUAGGGGCUGGAGGGUGAGAGGGAAUGACAGCUGAUAAGACUAUAGACAAAGGCAGGGCUCUGAUAAGGAAAAGCCUCUCAUGGCAAGCUAAGGGGAGCUAUUGAAAUUCUUGGGGGUAAGCCAACUAUGUACGUUUCAUUUCAUUUCAUUAAUUAAGAUUUUAAUUAAACACUUAGGAUCUGAGGAGCAUACAAAUGAGUAAACUACAGUCUCUAUUUUCAGGAAGUUUAAGUAUAAUGACAAAUAUAGAUGUGUAAAUAAAUACUUAUAAUCUGGAGUUAGAAAGAGUA
rnacentral:lncRNA from 10 species